UCCCAUCUGACCCGUGGCCCAGGAAGUUCGCUUUUUCGUUCGGUGGGUUCAGGUAGGCAAUUCAAUGCAUGCUCUAGUGACUUCCCGUGCACACGGCGGAGCUCCAUUUGGGACUUGAGGCAGAGUGAGGGAGCGCCGGCGGCGAGGCGACAUUGAGUUCCUAAUGCAGCCCAUACGUGGAUCCACUUUCCUGGAGGAGGCAGGAGAGAGUAUGGUGCCGCCCGCUUUGGCUUCAGCGACGGAGGGGGCUGACAUGGUGGUGGAGCACCUGGUGGUGGAGCACCUGGUGCUGGAGCAAGCAGUGGUAGAGUUAGAACAUGCAGUGGCCAGCGCGGACGCACAAAUCUUGUCAGCCAAGGAGGCGGCGGCGGCGCCGAGGGGAGAGAGCUCUCCGCCAACAUCGGAACUGUCGAUUGGGAAGAUGAAUCCUUGGGCACCUGGAUGGAACAAAAGGCUUAGGAUUGGGGCUGCUGCACCAAGCAGAACACCUUGCCCAAAACCGUGUCAGUGCAUUUGACAGUCUAGCUGGUGAAAUGAAGGACCUGCAUUACGGAGGCCAGCAGCAGUGCCAGCAGCUGGAGUGGUGAGGUGAAAUGCUGGUGAUAGGGUCGAUGCUAUGCUGGGGCAUAUCAGAGUAAGGACAGGUGCCACUGCGUGUGACAGGUAAUGCAGAUCAAAUGGAGGGGUUCCUACAAGAAAUCACAUCGAUGCAUGUAUCUGCUGAAGGUGGGGGAACAACUAUAGAAGAUUCAGAGCAUGAAGGGAUAGGUGGGCAGGGUGGCGCUGUAGUCAAUGCCGCAGCUAUCAAGAAGGAGGAUGAUGGUGUGGGUACGGAUGAAGUUAAGACAGAACGCUCAAGUGUGGUGGACAUUGACAAAGAGCGUGUGACGCAGCUGCAGACAGAGCUAUAUGAAGAAUAUGUGACGGAGGAAGCAUCUCGUCAAGCGAAACGGUAGAUAUCAGUCAUUGCACCAUCAAUGAUUGUGGACAUCAUGGACAGUGAUAGCAACGAUGAUGGCGCAUUUGAAGAGUGGUGAGAUCCUGAACACGACCAGCUAGUGGAGAUUGACAGGAGGAUCAGGGAAAAAAAGCAAUAGAUGCCGAGGUUGCAAAGAAGUGCCAUGAGGACGCAGAAAGACAGGAAAAGGAGCUGGUGGAGAGGCAUGCAGAGGUUGCAAGAACGUGUCAUGAAGAGAUGGAACCGGAGGUAAGGGAGAAAGUGGAGACGGAUAAUGAGGUUGCUCGUAUGCACCAAAACCUGUACUACCAAAAUGCCACAGAUGAGAAGAUCAAGAGGGCGUCUGCUCUAUUUGUUGUCGGACAACUAGUACCUAAUAUUGCUCGGGAAUCAAGUGCAGAGGGAGGCCAAACGCCAGACAUAGGUGUUCACACAAGCUUGGAUGUUGGUCAGCAUGCUCAGCUCACAGGAUCGAACUUUAUGGGUAACUGCCGAACUCAACAUCCUAAGAAAACUAAAAUUUGAUUGUUGUACCAAUUGAUGAAAAAAGUGUCAUUCGCAUCUGAGAGAGGGCAUUGCAGACAGUGCCAGCCCCAGAGGGCAAGACAAUGUGAAGCGGACCAAGCAACGGAGAAGCAAGAGGAGGUCUAAGAGAGCAAGGAGUAAGAAUCGUAGGAAAGUUCGAUUCUCAAACAUGGUUCAGACAAUCUGUCCAACCGAGAGCUCGAAAACUAAUGAUACAAGCAGUUAUGAUGGAAAUGUUGCUAGCGCCGAGGACAAUGGGGGACCAAUCCGUACAAGAGUAAACAACAGCUUAGAGAAUGACAUAUCGAAGCACGGAACAGAGUGCCAGGGGCUGUGGGGCAGGUUGGUGCGACUGUUUCAAACGUGCCAGUUGUUUCAACUCUCAGGAAUGAUUGCACCGCUACUGGUCCCACCGAGCCUAGAGAUGCAUGCAAACAAGGGCGGAUGAGAUUCCUGAAACUAAUGGCACCGUAACAAUAGAUACAUAUUCAUGGGUACAACAGUGUCAGAAGUUGGGGUAAGCUCCAGUCAAGCAGUGGACCAGGUCGACCGUAGGACUGAAGAGGGCACAGAUGAUCAACACACUGUCGCCACAGAGGGAUCAGCGGGAGCACCUCGCCGGCCUGCGAGGAAGAAGAGGAGCUCGCCAUCUUUUUCGAUCUGAUUCUUCCCAGCGGGGGGGGGGGGGGGGGGGCAGCCGACGAAUAUUGUAAUGGAAGGCUACAGGGGUGGGUGCGGUGAUAAAUUAAACGGGUAUGGUUCAAUGCAGUCCGUUUAGUGGCUAACGACGUCUGAGCCAUAGUCCAAGACGCGGGAGCCCCAUCUGAGCCGCCGCUGUGGGGAUGACGGCCAUUGCAUUAAAAGCGGUGGAUGGGUGGGCCAUGGUGUGGGAAAAAGCUGCGCAUACAAGUCUGAAUACAGACUAAAAUACAUGGGGCGAUGCGAAUCUUAGCAGUAGCUAACGGCUAUGAUAUCGAGUCCAUCUGAGCUCGAGCUCAGAAUAGGACUUUCGGUUUAUACUUUCCUUGAAUAGUUGUAUGCUGGAAGUUUGUUCACCAUUACAGCUGCGAUGGGCAAAGAAGACUCGCCAUGUUUCAUAAGGGAUGGUCUGAAAAGACUCUCAACCCUGCCAAUGCACAUAGAUGCGUGGAAGAAAUCAGCCACCCAAGUACCUACAAUGAUGUCUCUAAUCCGGGCCAAGGCUUAUGUGCUAGAAAUGGAUCCAUCUGAGAUGGCUGGCGGGUUUCAAUACGUAUGGUACUCGAUUCACGGCAAAGGACUAUGCCCGCUGCAUGAAAGAAACUCGUGUCUUGGUGAGUCAAUUGGUUCAAGGCCUCGAUCUGAAGAAAUAUCGGGCGGCUUACAAUGAAGAGAACAUGGGAGUUGACCCGCCCACUUUUGACCCUAUCAACUUGACUCCUGCCGGUCGUAAGCACAUAGUUGCUCCUGAUGUUGACCCAUCAAUUAUCAUGCAAGUUGAUGUUAUCUUCCAAGAAUUAACGACCUACAAUUGGAAUCUUGACAACCUUCAGAACCAAGACGAGCUAGCGCAGGAUGAUACGGAAAACAUCAACUGCGGCAGAUGAUCAAGGCGUCAACCCAGAGCAGGUUAACCCGGAUGGUACACGAGCCGUCUUGCAGGAGUAAUGACUCCUAAGAAAACUUUGAUGAUUUAUGUAAGCCCUGCUGUGGCUUUUGUAACAGGAUAGUACAAACUUUGUUGUCUUU